rnacentral:tRNA from 1 species
GGCGAUGUAGCUCAGCUUGUAGGGGAACGACUCAUAAUCGUUAGGUCCGCGGUUCAAGUCCGCGCAUCGCCACCA